AGUAGUGGGUCAGCCAAAAAGUUUGUUUAGGUUUUUCCGUACAAUGCAACAGAGAAACCUGAAUGAACUUUUUGACCAACCCAAUAGAU
rnacentral:miRNA from 1 species